rnacentral:snoRNA from 1 species
GAGCUGUGAUGACAAUUGUGUCAGCUGUGAUAGAUGGGUCUGUCACAACUUUCUGAUUUUCUGAAGAAUGGUGGCACUCCUGAGCUC